rnacentral:ribozyme from 1 species
ACCAUGGCGACACUGAUACGGGAAUGGAUUGGAAGCCUCUAACAUAGGCUCUCCUUUCCCUACUCCUGCUCAAUACGUCCUGGUCGUACAGAACGGUAACCUUUCCUCUCAAUUAUCCAAGCUUGGGUACACGGGGAAACCCAACCCCUUGGGAGGAUGAG